GAGUUUAAGCGAGACUCGGACGUGUGGGUUUCUGAUCGAGGCGGCAGUUGCCUGGAAAAACUGCAUUUAUUAAGGUGGCUCUCACAGUUCCUCGUGGCUUUUCCUCUGGGUUCUCCAGCAUGCACGGGCACCCGUGGAGUUGCUGCUGGAGCAGGACCUAGGGAAUGAUCUUCCCGGUCACCCUCUUAGCGUUUCAGUGGCACCGACGGCCUGGAGGCCGUGCCCUGUCCCGCGCUGCCAUGGAAGUGGCCUUCCGAGGAGUGCGAAAAGUUCUCUGCGUGGCGGAGAAAAACGACGCUGCCAAGGGGAUCGCCGACUUGCUGUCCAACGGGCGUAUGAGGCGGGUAAGAAGCACUUGGGUUCUGCUUCCCUGAGGAACGCCCACAAAGUCCGACAGCGCGUUGGGUACCGGGAGCCCGGGCGAAAGCGACUCCGCCUAUUUUGCGAGAGGCCCCUCCCGGCCGCCCUCACUUCUCGGUUUCUCCCUAGCCUUCAGGCUUUUUGUAAAUGUAAAACCUUUUCACGCUUUUGAUAGACCUUUGCUCGCCGGAUCUGUCUGCUCGGCUCACAUACCAGUGGAGCAUUGCUCUCCCUUCUUUGGGUCUGGAGUGUGAGAACACGUGUAUUUUAAAACUCUUCCUUGGUCAAUCACAAGUUCAGUAGUAUUGGAAAGCGGUAACCAACUCCUUUAUCUUGGCGUUCAAGCCUUACUUAUGGAAUCCUGUCCCUGCCUUCUGCAGACCCUGUGACUAGGGUGGUGGCACCCUAGGGGUAACACUUAGGUUUAGGAACUAGAGAAGUCAAUUACUACUCCUAUAGACUGAUUCUAAGAUACACGAAAGAUAGGAUUGUCUCCUGACAAAACGGAGGUGAGAAGGGUAAAACCCCAAGGACUGUUGCGUUAUCAUUCAGCUGGAGGCCCUUCCUAGGAGCUGUUCCCUUUUCUUUGCAAACAGUUGGAUCUCCAGACCUCUGCCUCCAGUUUUAAAAUACCCGGAAGGGGGAGCCAAGGUUAGGUGGGCGCUGGCCCCUAACUACUUCACCUCUUAAAAAUGUCUUUGAGUAAUAAUUUUUUCUUUUCUGUUUUGGAGACAGGGGUCUCACGAUGUAGCCCUGGCUGUCCUGGAACUUGCUAAGUAGAUCAGGCUGGCCUUGAACAAUGGAGAUCUGUUUGCCUCUGUCUUCUAAGUACUGGGGUUACAGACUGACAUUCAGCCUAACUACUGCUUAGAUCUCUCUCUCUUUUAUUUUUUAAUGUCUAUGGGUGUUUUCCCUACAUGUAUGCCUGUGUAUCAGACACAUGCCCACCGAGGCCAGAAAGGGUAUCAGAUCUGGUUGUGAGCCACUAUGUGAGAUAUGGGAAUCGAACCUAAGUACUCUGAAAGAGCAGCAAGUGCUCUUAACUAUUGAGUCAUCUCUCCAGCCCCUUAAAUGUCUUUUUUUAAGGAGCGCCCCCUGCCCCCCAUACACGCACACACUUGGCCGGGGAUUCUUUUCUCCCUCUCCCCCACCCCCUCUCUUUCUCUCGAUGGCUAGUUGGUUGGUUUUUGGAGACAGGUUCCUCUGUGGUGUAGUCCUGUUUGUCCUGGAACUCACUAUGUAGACCAAGCCAGGGCUUCUGAAUCCUGUACCAUCACAACACUUAGAAGGCAUCUACAGUAAUGAGACUGCCAAAGCUGGAAUAAAAGAGAUUGUUGCUGCUUUGUCCAUACCAUUGAGUAGAUUGGAAUUGAGUCUUUAAAACUGUAUUUUAUUCAGAGGGCUGGCAACCCUAGAAGACAGCUUGUCUCCAGCUGGCAGGUUAUAUAGAGACAAUGGGGGUGAGGUAGAGAAUGAAAGGCGGUCAGUCGCUUUGGAGUUCAAUCGUGCCCCCUGGUCAGCCAUAUUUUGAGAUUUGUGUUGUUCUGUAAGGAUAAGUAAGAGUUAAGUUUGUAGGAAGAAAUAAAAGAUGAGAAACUAGAUGAGCUCAAACAGCUAAAGCAAUUGAUAUUUAAUGCCAGAAAUGUGGUGUUUGUAGUUCUGACUAUGACAUGACCAGGGCACAGGACCUCAGCACUCAAUGAUCAGGGUCCAAGAGAAUACACAUUUCUUGCUUCAGGCUGGGAUUUUUGUAGCUAAGGAUAGGGAGUGGGUGAGAGGGAUUUGUUUGGGGCAGAAUGAGGAAGUUAGCUGUUUUCCUUAGAUAAGCAGUUUGGUCUGACUGCCAGGUCUGUUGUCUCUGCCACCACUGGGUAUCUGGAGUUGGGCCUGCUGCCUUCUGCAAUCCUUAAAUAUUUAUUUCUUGGAACUUUGAUCUCAGUUCCAGGAACUUGGCUUUUGGGGAGAUUCAUGUUUCAAUUUGGAAGAAAUGUCGUACAAGCUUAAGUGUGGUAAAGUAUGGGUUGUAUGACCAUUAUACUGUCUAGUUCCAGAAGGUAACUUUUGUCUCUUUAUUUUUUUUAAGAUUUAUUUAUUAAUUAUGUGAAUACACUGUAGUUGUCUUCAGACACUUCAGAAGAGGGAGUCAGAUCUUAUUACAGAUGGUUGUGAGCUACCAUAUGGUUGCUGGCAUUUGAACUCAGGACCUUCAGAAGAGCAGUCAGUGCUCUUAACCACUGAGCCAUCUCUCCAGCCCAACUUUUGUCUCUUUAAAAGAGCAAGUACCAUUGUUAGCUCUGUCAUGCCCACCACAGUUAGCCCGCUCUGCUGUUAACUAUUGAUGUUGUUAGGGGGUUGGAGUUUUUGUGUUAAGAGUCUCAUUCAUGUAGCUGACUUGAGGUUGACCAUAAAGUUGCUAGGAGUGGAGGCUGGCCAUAAACUUUUUUUUUCUUUCUUUCUUUAAACUGGAAUAAUCAGUUUAUCUUAUUUUUAUUUUUGUGCAUGUGGUGUGUGUGUGUUUGUAUGUGUGUGUGCACGAGUGUGCAAGCACAUGCUUGUGCCCUUGAAGGCCAGAAAAGAGCCCUGGGGCCUCUGCAGUUAUAAGCAGGGAAGGCCCCUUGAUGUGGGUGAUCUUCUGGAAGAGCAGCAAGCACUCUUAAGCACUGAGCCAUCACAGUUUUACCAAACUUAAAUGGUUGUGAGAUAUUUCCUCCAGAUUGAAACAUGAAUUCUGACACCCGCCCCCCAAAGACAGAAAGCUCAGGUCUUGAAACUGAAUUCAGUGUUGCUCAGGGUUCCAGGAAGUAGC
rnacentral:lncRNA from 1 species